GGGUUGUGAGGUUAAGCGACUAAGCGUACACGGUGGAUGCCCUGGCAGUCAGAGGCGAUGAAGGGCGUGCUAAUCUGCGAUAAGCGCCGGUAAGGUGAUAUGAACCGUUAUAACCGGCGAUACCCGAAUGGGGAAACCCAGUGUGAUUCGUCACACUAUCAUUAACUGAAUCCAUAGGUUAAUGAGGCGAACCGGGGGAACUGAAACAUCUAAGUACCCCGAGGAAAAGAAAUCAACCGAGAUUCCCCCAGUAGCGGCGAGCGAACGGGGAGGAGCCCAGAGCCUGAAUCAGCAUGUGUGUUAGUGGAAGCGUCUGGAAAGGCGCGCGAUACAGGGUGACAGCCCCGUACACAAAAGCGCAUGUGCUGUGAGCUCGAUGAGUAGGGCGGGACACGUGGUAUCCUGUCUGAAUAUGGGGGGACCAUCCUCCAAGGCUAAAUACUCCUGACUGACCGAUAGUGAACCAGUACCGUGAGGGAAAGGCGAAAAGAACCCCGGCGAGGGGAGUGAAAAAGAACCUGAAACCGUGUACGUACAAGCAGUGGGAGCACCCUUUUGGGUGUGACUGCGUACCUUUUGUAUAAUGGGUCAGCGACUUAUAUUCUGUAGCAAGGUUAACCGAAUAGGGGAGCCGUAGGGAAACCGAGUCUUAACCGGGCGUUAAGUUGCAGGGUAUAGACCCGAAACCCGGUGAUCUAGCCAUGGGCAGGUUGAAGGUUGGGUAACACUAACUGGAGGACCGAACCGACUAAUGUUGAAAAAUUAGCGGAUGACCUGUGGCUGGGGGUGAAAGGCCAAUCAAACCGGGAGAUAGCUGGUUCUCCCCGAAAGCUAUUUAGGUAGCGCCUCGUGAAUUCAUCUCCGGGGGUAGAGCACUGUUUCGGCUAGGGGGCCAUCCCGGCUUACCAACCCGAUGCAAACUGCGAAUACCGGAGAAUGUUAUCACGGGAGACACACGGCGGGUGCUAACGUCCGUCGUGAAGAGGGAAACAACCCAGACCGCCAGCUAAGGUCCCAAAGUCAUGGUUAAGUGGGAAACGAUGUGGGAAGGCCCAGACAGCCAGGAUGUUGGCUUAGAAGCAGCCAUCAUUUAAAGAAAGCGUAAUAGCUCACUGGUCGAGUCGGCCUGCGCGGAAGAUGUAACGGGGCUAAACCAUGCACCGAAGCUGCGGCAGCGACACUGUGUGUUGUUGGGUAGGGGAGCGUUCUGUAAGCCUGUGAAGGUGUGUCGUGAGGCAUGCUGGAGGUAUCAGAAGUGCGAAUGCUGACAUAAGUAACGAUAAAGCGGGUGAAAAGCCCGCUCGCCGGAAGACCAAGGGUUCCUGUCCAACGUUAAUCGGGGCAGGGUGAGUCGACCCCUAAGGCGAGGCCGAAAGGCGUAGUCGAUGGGAAACAGGUUAAUAUUCCUGUACUUGGUGUUACUGCGAAGGGGGGACGGAGAAGGCUAUGUUGGCCGGGCGACGGUUGUCCCGGUUUAAGCGUGUAGGUGUGUGUUCCAGGUAAAUCCGGUUCACUUUAACACUGAGGCGUGAUGACGAGGCACUACGGUGCUGAAGCAACAAAUGCCCUGCUUCCAGGAAAAGCCUCUAAGCAUCAGGUAACAUCAAAUCGUACCCCAAACCGACACAGGUGGUCAGGUAGAGAAUACCAAGGCGCUUGAGAGAACUCGGGUGAAGGAACUAGGCAAAAUGGUGCCGUAACUUCGGGAGAAGGCACGCUGACACGUAGGUGAAGUGAUUUACUCAUGGAGCUGAAGUCAGUCGAAGAUACCAGCUGGCUGCAACUGUUUAUUAAAAACACAGCACUGUGCAAACACGAAAGUGGACGUAUACGGUGUGACGCCUGCCCGGUGCCGGAAGGUUAAUUGAUGGGGUCAGCGCAAGCGAAGCUCCUGAUCGAAGCCCCGGUAAACGGCGGCCGUAACUAUAACGGUCCUAAGGUAGCGAAAUUCCUUGUCGGGUAAGUUCCGACCUGCACGAAUGGCGUAAUGAUGGCCAGGCUGUCUCCACCCGAGACUCAGUGAAAUUGAACUCGCUGUGAAGAUGCAGUGUACCCGCGGCAAGACGGAAAGACCCCGUGAACCUUUACUAUAGCUUGACACUGAACAUUGAGCCUUGAUGUGUAGGAUAGGUGGGAGGCUUUGAAGCGUGGACGCCAGUCUGCGUGGAGCCGACCUUGAAAUACCACCCUUUAAUGUUUGAUGUUCUAACGUGGACCCGUUACCCGGGUUGCGGACAGUGUCUGGUGGGUAGUUUGACUGGGGCGGUCUCCUCCUAAAGAGUAACGGAGGAGCACGAAGGUUGGCUAAUCCUGGUCGGACAUCAGGAGGUUAGUGCAAUGGCAUAAGCCAGCUUGACUGCGAGCGUGACGGCGCGAGCAGGUGCGAAAGCAGGUCAUAGUGAUCCGGUGGUUCUGAAUGGAAGGGCCAUCGCUCAACGGAUAAAAGGUACUCCGGGGAUAACAGGCUGAUACCGCCCAAGAGUUCAUAUCGACGGCGGUGUUUGGCACCUCGAUGUCGGCUCAUCACAUCCUGGGGCUGAAGUAGGUCCCAAGGGUAUGGCUGUUCGCCAUUUAAAGUGGUACGCGAGCUGGGUUUAGAACGUCGUGAGACAGUUCGGUCCCUAUCUGCCGUGGGCGCUGGAGAACUGAGGGGGGCUGCUCCUAGUACGAGAGGACCGGAGUGGACGCAUCACUGGUGUUCGGGUUGUCAUGCCAAUGGCACUGCCCGGUAGCUAAAUGCGGAAGAGAUAAGUGCUGAAAGCAUCUAAGCACGAAACUUGCCCCGAGAUGAGUUCUCCCUGAGACUUAGAGUCUCCUGAAGGAACGUUGAAGACGACGACGUUGAUAGGCCGGGUGUGUAAGCGCAGCGAUGCGUUGAGCUAACCGGUACUAAUGAACCGUGAGGCUUAACCUUACAACGCCGAAGCUGUU
rnacentral:rRNA from 1 species